rnacentral:rRNA from 1 species
UCUUACGGAAGGCAGCAGUGGGGAAUAUUGCACAAUGGGCGAAAGCCUGAUGCAGCGACGCCGCGUGAGGGAUGACGGCCUUCGGGUUGUAAACCUCUUUCAGCAGGGAAGAAGCGAAAGUGACGGUACCUGCAGAAGAAGCGCCGGCUAACUACGUGCCAGCAGCCGCGGUAAUACGUAGGGCGCGAGCGUUGUCCGGAAUUAUUGGGCGUAAAGAGCUCGUAGGCGGCUUGUCGCGUCGGUUGUGAAAGCCCGGGGCUUAACCCCGGGUCUGCAGUCGAUACGGGCAGGCUAGAGUUCGGUAGGGGAGAUCGGAAUUCCUGGUGUAGCGGUGAAAUGCGCAGAUAUCAGGAGGAACACCGGUGGCGAAGGCGGAUCUCUGGGCCGAUACUGACGCUGAGGAGCGAAAGCGUGGGGAGCGAACAGGAUUAGAUACCCUGGUAGUCCACGCCGUAAACGGUGGGCACUAGGUGUGGGCAACAUUCCACGUUGUCCGUGCCGCAGCUAACGCAUUAAGUGCCCCGCCUGGGAGUACGGCCGCAG